rnacentral:tRNA from 1 species
GCAGGGGUACCCAAGCCUGGUCAAAGGGGCAAGAAGUACUUGACCUUGCGGCUUAGUGCCUUCGUGGGUUCAAAUCCCACCCCCUGCA